rnacentral:rRNA from 1 species
CCUACGGGAGGCAGCAGUGAGGAAUAUUGGUCAAUGGACGGGAGACUGAACCAGCCAAGCCGCGUGAGGGAUGAAGGUACAGAGUAUCGUAAACCUCUUUUGUCAGGGAACAAAGGCGGGGACGUGUCCCCGGACGAGUGUACCUGAAGUAAAAGGAUCGGCUAACUCCGGUCCAUCCGACGCGGUACUACGGGGUAUGCGAGUUUUAUCCGGUUCUAUUGGGUUAAAGGGGGGGGCAGGGGGUCUGUUAAGUCAGCGGUAAAAGCCAGGGGCUCAACCCCGGCCCGCCGUUGAACCUGGCAGUCUCGAGUUGGAGAGAAGUAUGCGGAAUGCGCGGUGUAGCGGUGAAAUGCAUAGAUAUCGCGCAGAACUCCGAUUGCGAAGGCAGCAUGCCGGCUCCACACUGACGCUGAGGCACGAAAGCGUGGGUAUCGAACAGGAUUAGAUACCCUAGUAGUC